AAUUACGGCCAUACCAGUCUGAAAGUGCCUGAUCUCGUCAGAUCUUAGAAGCCAUCCAGACUCGGCCUGGUUAGCACUUGUAUGGGAGAUAAAAUUAGUCUUACUUU